AACACCCACAAAAACUAUAAGAUCUCACCUGCUGAGGAAACUGAUCUAUGUGUGUGUGUGUGUGUGUGACGAGGGGAAAGACACUGAAACUUAUUUCUAUGUGUGUGUGAUGAGGAAAAAGACACUGACACUUAUUUCUACGUGUGUGUGUGUCAUGUGGGGAAAGACACUGACACUUAUUUCUAUGUGUGUGUGUGUGAUGAGGGGAAAGACACUGACACUUAUUUCUAUGUGUGUGUGUGUGAUGAGG